GUUAGGUUCUGUCAAUAGAAGAUACUAAAGAAAGAAAGCCAGGAGAAGAAAAGGGACUUCUUUCUUCAAGGUCUAAGCUGUUCUAAUAGCAUUAUUCUGGGAAUGGCAUCUUCCACUCCUCCUAGUACAAAGAACCUGCUUCCUCAUACCCCGUCAAGGAACUGCAGCAUCCAGAAUACAUUCAUACCUAACACCUCAAUAGAUGACAUGUUAUCCAUGGAAUCGAGUUCAAAGCCCUCUGUAACGUGGCUAUAUCCCAUCUACUCUGAGCUGAUGUUCAGCAGGUGAUGGCCACAGUGGCAGAACCUAGGAAGCCAAGAAGAAACCAGAGAAUGGAGACACAUGGCAGCAAUGGCAAGUCAUCAGACCCAGGAUUUCCCAAAGAACACUGGUCCAGGAAGAUGCUCUGUGAAAAAGUGUUCCCUGGUCGGAGAAAUUUGUGAAACACUUUGCAUAAUACUUAAAAGAAUGUAUGGCACAUCAAAGGUAAUAUGCAAUAAAAGAAUUCAUUUUUUUAAAACCAA
rnacentral:lncRNA from 1 species